rnacentral:rRNA from 1 species
GAUGAACGCUGGCGGCGUGCCUAAUACAUGCAAGUCGAGCGAACAGACGAGGAGCUUGCUCCUCUGACGUUAGCGGCGGACGGGUGAGUAACACGUGGAUAACCUACCUAUAAGACUGGGAUAACUUCGGGAAACCGGAGCUAAUACCGGAUAAUAUAUUGAACCGCAUGGUUCAAUAGUGAAAGACGGUUUUGCUGUCACUUAUAGAUGGAUCCGCGCCGCAUUAGCUAGUUGGUAAGGUAACGGCUUACCAAGGCAACGAUGCGUAGCCGACCUGAGAGGGUGACCGGGCCACCCAGGACCUGACCAACGGCCCAACUCCCCCGGGGGGGAAGCGAGGGGGAACUUUCCGCAAGGGGGGAAACCCCGACGGACCAACCCCCGGGUGGGUAGGAAGUUUUUCGGAUCGUAAACCUUUUUUUUUAGGGAAAAAAAAAUGUGUAAGUAACUUUCCCCGUUUUGACGGUACCUAAACAGAAAGCCCCGGCUAACUACGU